GGUGGACGGGUGAGUAACGCGUAAAGAACUUGCCCUUUAGACUGGGAUAACAGAGGGAAACUUCUGAUAAUACUGGAUAAGUUAGUAUAUCGCAUGAUAUGCAAAUGAAAGCUACGGCACUAAAGGAGAGCUUUGCGUCCUAUUAGCUAGUUGGUAAGGUAAGAGCUUACCAAGGCGAUGAUAGGUAGCCGGCCUGAGAGGGUGGACGGCCACAAGGGGACUGAGAUACGGCCCUUACUCCUACGGGAGGCAGCAGCU
rnacentral:rRNA from 1 species